rnacentral:rRNA from 1 species
AUUGAACGCUGGCGGCAUGCCUUACACAUGCAAGUCGAACGGUAACAGGUCUUCGGAUGCUGACGAGUGGCGAACGGGUGAGUAAUACAUCGGAACGUGCCUAGUAGUGGGGGGUAACUACUCGAAAGAGUGGCUAAUACCGCAUGAGAUCUACGGAUGAAAGCAGGGGAUCGCAAGACCUUGCGCUACUAGAGCGGCCGAUGGCAGAUUAGGUAGUUGGUGGGAUAAAAGCUUACCAAGCCGACGAUCUGUAGCUGGUCUGGGAGGACGAUCAGCCACACUGGGACUGAGAAACGGCCCAGACUCCUACGGGAGGCAGCAGUGGGGAAUUUUGGACAAUGGGCGCAAGCCUGAUCCGGCAAUGCCGCGUGCAGGAUGAAGGCCUUCGGGUUGUAAACUGCUUUUGUACGGAACGAAAAGCCCCGGGUUAAUACCCUGGGGUCAUGACGGUACCGUAAGAAUAAGCACCGGCUAACUACGUGCCAGCCGCCGCGGUAA